AUGUCUUCUAUUAUGUGAUAUUGUCACAGUUUGAAAUUAAUAAAUAUUUCUGGACUUGAAUCAACAGAAUAAAAGGAAGUUCAGUUGGACUGGAGAAAGUUUUUCAGCCUCCCCUCUCCUCUUCUUCAGUCUCCUUCAAGUCAUUCAGUGUGAGCCUUGAGGUUUCAAUGAAAUAGUCCUUAAUCUUCUUUGUCAAACAAGGGGUUUAUUUGGAGAAGAAGGACAAGGGUGGAGGAUAAGGGUGUAACAUCAUCUUAUUGGAGUCUCAGCAGAGCCCAUUGCCACUACAAGACAAACAUUUGGACAUGUGGAUUUGCAGCCUAAUGACAGCAGAUCAGUGAUGUCAUCUCUAUACAAGAAAGUAAGGUGUAUUAUGAGACUGAGAAAUGGAGAAAAGUUGUGACUAGUGGAGGAUCCACUUAUGAAUAUUAGAAACCAUAGUCCUGAGAAUUCUGGAACAAAUCAGAGCUGGCUGACAUUCAAUCAAGAAAGAUACUUGUUAGGACUUGGUUUCUCCAGAGGGCAGCUGAAAUUAUCUAGACUGCUUCUUGAAGGAAGAGGCAGAGGAAAGGUGAGGAGUUAACAUUUGAUCCCAG
rnacentral:lncRNA from 1 species